rnacentral:lncRNA from 1 species
GAAUAUCAGGUGGUAAAAGAACUGAUAGCCGUCAUCCGAGCCUCAGGGACCAUCAGUAGUGUUGGUGGCAAAGGUAUCGUUGGAGAGAAGUUUAUUUUCUAUGACAGAUCGAGAAAGUAUGGCACUCAUUCUUAGUAAUUUCAACUGAGCAUGUGCCCUUUGGUAACUCUUAUUGUGGUCAGGCACUCAGCUAACAUCCAUUUUUCUUUAUCCCCUUGCCCGAGGAGUUAGGAUCUUCUCCGUUUCUCAAAUGGAGAGGAUCCUAACUCCUGCGUGAUGAUAGUUGUGUAAGAUAUCCCUAGAGGCUCCUCACUUCUUGCUGUUGUCUUGUAUAUUAUCAUUUUCACUGAGUUUUAUGUCAAUUACAUUUUGAACUUAUUUUGAUUAAAAAACUAUAGUACUUUGAAAUAUCAUUUGAAUGGUGAUCAUAUGAAAC